GACGAACGCUGGCGGCGUGCCUAAUACAUGCAAGUAGAACGCACAGUUUAUACCGUUGCUUGCUACACCAUAGACUGUGAGUUGCGAACGGGUGAGUAACGCGUAGGUAACCUGCCUGGUAGCGGGGGAUAACUAUUGGAAACGAUAGCUAAUACCGCAUAAUAUUCAUUAUUGCAUGAUAAUUGAUUGAAAGAUGCAACUGCAUCACUACCAGAUGGACCUGCUUUGUAUUAGCUAGUAGGUGAGGUAACGGCUCAACUAGGGGACGAUACAUAGCCGACCUUGGGGGGUGGACGGCCCAACUGGGAAUGGGACACGGCCCAGAAUCCUUAGGGGGGGCGCAAGAAGGGAACUUUCGGAAUGGAGGAAAGUCUGGACGAGCAAAGCCGCGGGAGGGAAGAAGGGUUUCGGGUCGGAAAGAUCUGUUGUAAGGGAAGAAAGGAUGUGGGAGUGGAAAGUUCACAUUGUGACGGUAUCUAACCAGAAAGGGACGGCUAACUACGUG
rnacentral:rRNA from 1 species